rnacentral:rRNA from 1 species
GACGUAGGGGGCCAGCGUUGUUCGGAAUUACUGGGUGUAAAGCGUGCGUAGACGGUUCUGUAAGUCGGAUGUGAAAUCCCCGGGCUUAACCUGGGAAUUGCAUUCGAAACUGCAAAGCUUGGGUGCGGAAGAGGGAAGCGGAAUUUCCGGUGUAGCGGUGAAAUGCGCAGAUAUCAGGAAGAACACCCGUGGCGAAGGCGGUUCUCUGGGACGGUACUGACGCUGAGACGCGAAAGCGUGGGGAGCGAACAGG